GUCUUUGUCCAGGUCACGUGGAUUGUGCCCAGUCACAUCAGAUCUUGCAAGCUAUGUGGGCUUAAUCCUGAAUUGUACUUGGAUGGGUGACCACCUUGCACAAGCAGGUUGUUAUAGGCU
rnacentral:rRNA from 1 species